UGGGGAAUUUUGGACAAUGGGGGAAACCCUGAUCCAACCAUCCCGCGUGUGCGAUGAAGGCCUUCGGGUUGUAAAGCACUUUUGGCAGGAAAGAAACGUCAUGGGUUAAUACCCCGUGAAACUGACGGUACCUGCAGAAUAAGCACCGGCUAACUACGUGCCAGCAGCCGCGGUAAUACGUAGGGUGCAAGCGUUAAUCGGAAUUACUGGGCGUAAAGCGUGCGCAGGCGGUUCGGAAAGAAAGAUGUGAAAUCCCAGAGCUCAACUUUGGAACUGCAUUUUUAACUACCGGACUAGAGUGUGUCAGAGGGAGGUGGAAUUCCGCGUGUAGCAGUGAAAUGCGUAGAUAUGCGGAGGAACACCGAUGGCGAAGGCAGCCUCCUGGGAUAACACUGACGCUCAUGCACGAAAGCGUGGGGAGCAAACAGG
rnacentral:rRNA from 1 species